GUGCCAAGAGAGAAAAGAAUAUGACACCAUAAAGGGAAUAAUGGAUUAUACUAAAAAAACUGAACUAACUAAUCAGGAAUUACUGGAGCUAUCAUUGCAAAUGCAGUUAGACUGUAUCUACGAGGAAAAGGCCGGGGAGCGUUUGUAAGAUCAAGACGAAAAUGGAUGGAAGAGGGAGAGAAAUACAACAUAUUUCUUUAAUUAAGAAAAAAGGGACCAUUCACACAGUCCAGUCAGUCACACAGUCCAGAAGCUCGGGCCUACCCUACUUCCUCCUACAACACCCUGAUGAGAAGCAAAAAACCUGGCCCCAGGACUCGCCCCACAGGCGAGGGUCCACCAGAAACUCAGUGGGUGGUCGGUCUGGGGGAAGCCCUGGCAGUGAUGAAGGAUCUCCUACCUUGACAUUUUUCAAAAAAAUGAACCCAGUGUGUCGAGGCACCGAUCUGUGGGGACAGGUCUCUGAAUGUCCUUGAGUGGCCCAGCCAGAGCCCGGACUUAAAUCCGAUCUAACAUCUCUGGAGAGACCUGAAAUCACUGUGCAGCGACGCUCCCCAUCCAACCUGACAGAGCUUUUGGAGCUGUAAUUGCUGCCAAAGAUGCUUCAACAAAGUACUGAGUAAAGGGUCUGAAUA
ensembl:lncRNA